rnacentral:tRNA from 1 species
GGCCGGUUAGCUCAGUGGGUUGAAUGCGGUGCUGAUAACACCGAGAUCGCGGGUUCAGUUCCCGUUCGGUCU